AUGGAGUGGUCAGCGAGGCGCUUGCUCGCCGUCGCUGCGUCUGCAGGCAUCCUCUCUAUGCUCAUGCUCCGGAGCAGUGCGGCCAUGGCAGCGCCGCUUCCAGUGCGAGUCGGCGUGGUGCUGGACCUCACCAGCGACGCCGGGAGGAGGAGCCUCACCUGCAUUUCCAUGGCCCUUGAAGACUUCUACCUCAAGCACCCGAGCUACGCCACGCGGGUGGAGCUGCGCUUCAGGGAUUCGCGCGGAGACAUUGUCAGCGCCGCGUACGCUGGCUACUUCUGGUAUUGUCUAGCACGCUCAUGUAGGAGUACGUAG
rnacentral:rRNA from 1 species